CUUCCAGUACAUGAAGGGGGCUUACAGGAAAGCUGGGGAGGGACUUUUUACAAGGGCAGGUAGUGUCAGGACAAGGGGAAAUAGCUAUAAACUGGAAGAGGGUAGAUUUAGACUAGAUAUUAGGAAGAAAUUGAAGAAAUUCUUUACUGUGAGGGUGGUGAUACACUAGAGCAUGUUGCUCAGUGAGGUUAUGGAUGCCGUGUGCCAAGAAGAAUUCAAGGCCAGGCUGGAUGGCGCUUUGAGCAACCUGGUCUAGUGGGAGGUGUCCCUGCCUAUAGCAGGGGAAUUAGAACUAGAUGACCUUAAAGGUCCCUUCCAACCCAAACCAUUCUAUGAUUCUAUGAAACAUGCGUUGCUGACAGCAGAUGAAGUGUUGGGCUUCACUCAUCCCUCACUCAGUGGACUUUGUCAUAGGCGAAUGUGGGGGAAGCUCAGAUGGACUCCACAUUCUGUCUUCAUCUCAAAGCGCAGAGCCUCGGGAACGUAAAGUGAAGGAGACUAUUAAACAGUACAACACAUACAGAAGACCCAAGGAAGAGAAGACUCAGGAUCUUGGAAUGGGUAACAGUCUCUCAGCUGUUUGUAAAGCAUUUGAUUUCAGUGUGCAUAAAGGAACCUCUACAUUUUUCAACAAUUUAAAUAUGCUUACCCUUUCAGCUUGUAAGUCUGCAGUAUUUGUGAUUUUGCAGCAAUGCUAUGAGCUCUGAAGGCGCCGAGUACUUUGAACCUGAUCCAAAAAAAUUAAUCAUAUGCUUAAAUUUACAUAAAAGAAUGUCCAGUUAGAUUCCAA
ensembl:lncRNA